rnacentral:rRNA from 1 species
AGUUAACGUUGGCGGCGUGCCUAACACAUGCAAGUCGAACGCGUCCUAAGGGCAACUUUAGGAUGAGUGGCGAACGGGUGAGUAUCACGUGGGUAAUCUUCCUUUAAGUGGGGAAUAAGCUCUCGAAAGGGAGUCUAAUACCGCAUGACAUUCCGGGACACAAGUCCCGUAAUCAAAGCCGCAAGGCGCUUGAAGAUGAGCCUGCGUCCUAUUAGCUAGUUGGUGGGGUAACGGCCUACCAAGGCUCAGAUGGGUAGCCGGCCUGAGAGGGUGAACGGCCACACUGGGACUGAGACACGGCCCAGACUCCUACGGGAGGCAGCAGUGAGGAAUUUUGCGCAAUGGGGGAAACCCUGACGCAGCGACGCCGCGUGGAGGAUGAAGGCCUUCGGGUCGUAAACUCCUGUCAGAGGUGAAGAAUGCCGCAAGGGUUUGACGGUAACCUCAGAGGAAGCCCCGGCUAACUACGUG